rnacentral:misc_RNA from 1 species
GGUUAUUCGGCAUCCUCAUCUGCUAGGUUAAAGUUGUACAUGAUUUUAGCAAGUACUUGUGUCAGAUAGUGUUUGGCAGGAGUCCCUUUUUUUGUGGUUUAGUUGGUUAGAAUUUGUAUGUCAAUUCAAGGAUAAGUAUUUACUCUAGUAAUUCUCGAAAGUAUCAUCUUUGCAGGGCAAAAUGUUAGAUCAAUUGAUUUG